rnacentral:rRNA from 1 species
CGCAAUGGGCGAAAGCCUGACGCAGCGACGCCGCGUGCGGGAAGAAGGCCUUCGGGUUGUAAACCGCUUUCAGGAGGGACGAAGCCACUCGGGUUAAUAGCCCAGAGGGUGACGGUACCUCCAGAAGAAGCCCCGGCUAACUACGUGCCAGCAGCCGCGGUAAUACGUAGGGGGCUAGCGUUGUCCGGAUUUAUUGGGCGUAAAGAGCGUGUAGGCGGUCAGGUAGGUCGGUUGUGAAAAACUGGAGGCUCAACCUUCAGAGGUCGACCGAAACCCCCUGGCUAGAGUCCGGGAGAGGAGAGUGGAAUUCCUGGUGUAGCGGUGAAAUGCGCAGAUAUCAGGAAGAACACCCGUGGCGAAAGCGGCUCUCUGGAACGGUACUGACGCUGAGACGCGAAAGCGUGGGGAGCGAACAGGAUUAGAUACCCUGGUAGUCCACGCCGUAAACGAUGGGCGCUAGGUGUGGGAGGUGUCGACUCCUUCCGUGCCGAAGCUAACGCAUUAAGCGCCCCGCCUGGGGAGUACGGCCGCAAGGCUA